GACGAACGCUGGCGGCGUGCCUAAUACAUGCAAGUCGAACGAGAGCGACCGGUGCUUGCACUGGUCAAUCUAGUGGCGAACGGGUGAGUAACACGUGGGUAACCUGCUCAUCAGAGGGGGAUAACAUCCGGAAACGGAUGCUAAAACCGCAUAGGUCUUCGAGCCGCAUGGCUUGAAGAGGAAAAGAGGCGCAAGCUUCUGCUGAUGGAUGGACCCGCGGUGCAUUAGCUAGUUGGUGAGGUAACGGCUCACCAAGGCCGUGAUGCAUAGCCGACCUGAGAGGGUGAUCGGCCACAUUGGGACUGAGACACGGCCCAAACUCCUACGGGAGGCAGCAGUAGGGAAUCUGCCGCAAUGGACGCAAGUCUGACGGAGCAACGCCGCGUGAGUGAAGAAGGUUUUCGGAUCGUAAAACUCUGUUGUUAGAGAAGAACAAGUGCUAGAGUAACUGUUAGCGCCUUGACGGUAUCUAACCAGAAAGCCACGGCUAACUACGU
rnacentral:rRNA from 1 species